CGCUUAGCGCUGGAGCUGGAGCACUUAGCGGGCGGAAAAUUUAAGGCGGGGAAGGGGCUCCCUUAGCACCGUUAAAAAUGCAUAAGUAUUGCAACAUGGUGGAUUACAGCGGGAGGAAAGGCAUCACCUCCUAAUGUAUCUGCCUCGUCUAGACGAAUUGGAGGCGUGUAAUGAUUUGAAACUCAUCCUGAAAUAUCUGUGGACUGUGCUGACCGUGCUGAGAUGAGUGGUUCGGCGAGGCGGACCUUGGAAACACCUACAUGGCCAUCACGACUGAAGUGGUGUUCGCCGACAGGUAAAAUGCAGGUGCAACCUUCACAGACUGACAGAGAUUGAGUGAUAACAGACACUGGAGACCCUCCAAGCGAUGGCUGGUGACCGCCUGCCACCAUCCACAGGCUGUCACACAAGGAGCCCUGGGAGUAACCUUGCUGGAAGCCCCGCGGGCCGCAGUGUGUGGCUGGCGUUAUACAGCCCCCAGCCAUCGCCUGGAGGGCAUCCAGUGUCUGUUAUCACUCACCUUAGGUAGUCUGUGAAGGUCCAGUCAUCACUGGUGCACGUGUAUCUUACCUGUGAUCAACACCGGCAGCCACAGACUCCUGCCCAAGGAACGAACACAGUGAUCGUGAUGACAUUGACAACAACGAGCAAGUCCUCCUAGACCUAGAGUGACCUCAAGCUGGGCCAAACAUGAUGUGGAAGAAGAAAUCAGUUGUCUCCAUCAGUCUGGUUUGUGCCAUGGCAGCUUUCUCCAGCUGUCCGGCAGAGGUCCAGUCCAUGCCAUGGAGAAAUUCAGCCCCCAACAAUGAGAUGGCAUGCCAGAGAUGGAUCCGCAGCUUCUCCUCCAAUCAAUCAAUCCUUGCAAUGCCCUUUCUCUUUUCUCUCCUUCUGUACCACCAUGCUUACACAUAACUGAUCCAAGGUACUGAAACUCAUUACCCUCCUCCAUUUCUUCACCAUUCAAAAUUAUUUGGCAUUCUUUUUCACAUUCAAUGCCCACUCUAUAUGGGCAUACAAACUCUACAACCUCCCUUCUACUCCGCUCACAAACCAUCACUUUACUUUUGUUGACAUUUACUUUCAACUUUCUCCUUUUACAUACACUAUCAAAAACACUGACCUAAUUUUGUAAGUCACUUUCAUUUUCUGCAUUGAGCACCGUGUCAUCAGCAAAUAAGAUUGAAUUCAUCACCUCCCUCGGCAUACAUUUUUACUUCAGUUUCCCCAACUUUGCCCUUCAUUUCUCAUAACACCAUCCAUAUAAAUAUUGAACAACCACGAUGACAUGACACACCCCUGCCUUAGCCCACUUUCAUCUCAAAAUGUUCACUUGUUUCUCCAGUAAUUUUGACACAUGCAGAUGCAUCCUCAUAGAAAGACUUUAUUGCAUAAAGCAGUUUUCCUCCCACACCAUAUAUCUUUAAGACGUCCCACAAUGCCAGCCAAUCGACUCUGUCAUAAACUUUCUUUAGAAUAACUAGAUCCAUGAAGGCAGCAUAGUAUUUUUUCCUUUUGCUAAUAUUUUUUCUAAUAAACACCAUCCUGAAGGAAAAUAUCUGAUCCACACAUCCUCUUCCCUUCCUGAAGUCUCCUUGUUCUUCACUGACUUUCUCUUCUGUAAGUCUUUGCGCAGUCUCAAUUAGGACUUUUCCAUAUACCUUUCCAGGUAGCCUACACUCAGCAGACUUAUACCCCUACAACUCCCACCUCCCCUCUCCUGCCCUUCCCCUUGUAAACUGGAAACAUGAUGGCUUUUGUCAAGUCUGCUGGGACCUCCCCCCCCCCCCCCCUUCCCAGGCCACUUCGCAUAUCUUGACCAUUCAUAUAGUAACUUCAUCUCCACACUUCAACAUUUCUGCUGUGAUUCCUCUCAAUUCAUUCAUCAUCAUCAUCUCAUCGACGCCUGCUCUUAGGAGCUCCCACCAGGGGAUGGCCACGGCAGAAGUUUCCAUCUUUCUCUAUCCGGACACUCCCUCCUUGCCUGCUCAAAGUUUCUCUCAAGGAUCUCUCAUCCUUCUCCCUAACGUACUCCUGCACCCUAUCUCUCCAUUUCACUGGAGGUCGUCCUCUAACAUUCCCUCCCUCAAUCUCACAUACGCCCUUCUGCUGGUCAUCUUACUCUCCUCCAUUUGCUCCAUGUGGCCAAACCACUUUAAAGUCACUUAUUCCCUUCAUCCCCGUGACACAUUCCAAAACGCUCAUACAUACUUUCAUUACUUAUUCCAUCCAUUCUACUCACACCACAAGCACUCCUCAAAUAACUCAUUUCCACUGCCUGCACUCUAGACCUCUGACUUUCAUUCCAGGCCCAUGUUUCACUUUCAUAUGUGAGGGUUGGUACUAUUAUUGUAUUUUCAACUGAUAACUGAUCCAAGGUACUUAAACUCAUUGACCUCCUCCAUUUCUUCACCAUUCAGAAUUAUUUUGCAUUCUUUUUCACAUUCAAUUCCCACUCUAUAUGGGCAUACAAAAUCUACAACUUCACUUCUACUCCCCUCACAAACCAUCACUUUACUUUUGUUGACAUUCACUUUCAGCUUUCUCCUUUUACAGACGCUAUGAAAAUCACUGACCAAGUUUUGUAAGUCACUUUCAUUUUCUGCAAUGAGCACCGUGUCAUCAGUAAACAGGAUUGAAUUCAGCACCCACUGCCUUCCCUCAGCGUACAUUUUUACUCCAACUUUGCCCUUUAUUUCUCUCAUGACACCAUCCAUAUAAAUAUUGAACAACCAUGGUGACAUGACACGCCCCUGCCUUAAUCCCACCUUUAUCUCAAAAUGUUCACUUGUUUCUCCACCAAUUUUGACACAUGCAGAUGCAUCCUCAUAGAAAGACUUUAUUGCACUAAGCAGUUUUCCUCCCACACCAUAAAUCUUUAAAACAUCCCACAAUGCAAUCCAAUCGAAUCUGUCGUAAACUUUUUCAAAGUCCAUGAAGGCAGCGUAUAGUUUCUUUCCUUUUGCUAUUAUUAUUUCUCCUACCAUCCUGAAGGAAAAUAUUUGAUUGAUUCCAUCAGUUCCUGAUGCUUUUCCAUUUUUUAAUCUUUUUAAUGCCUGAUUUACUUCUUCAUAUGUUAUACUUCUUUCUUUAUAUACUCCUCCUCUACCUCCGCUCAAAACUGUUGCUGUAACGGCUGCUGGACGUCCAUCAUCAAAAUUCAUUAAGUUUUUGAAAUAUUCUCUCCAUGUCUCUUUCACAGCUUCCCCGUCUUUGAACAUCUUUCCAUUCUCACCCAAAACUUCAUUAAU